UGUUCACAAGUUUAAAAGAAAAAAAAAGCUUGCAUUAAUUAAUUGCUUGCUUCAAUCAGUUUGGCCAUGAUGAUGAUUUGGGUUGUGGUCUCUCUCCUACCAUCUGUGGGAUUAACACCUCUGUGCAUCUCGACUAAGUGAGCUACCCAUGUGUCAGUGGAGACUCCAGCUCUCUCCCUCCAUGCCCACUGUGGAACUGAGCCUCUGCACAGACUCCCCUCUGCCUGCAAAGUUAGGCUUCUAACUCGGUAUCGCCAGCUCCCAAGGAUCCUGCAACUUUGUGUCUCUUUGUUUCGCUUCUGCAUUCAUGGCUCAUCUCCCCCUCCCCUCAGCGGCUUUCUCUUCUGCGACAUCAUCUUUUCUCAGCUCAGCCACAGCAGUCAAGGAGAGCUGCCAGCUAGGUCAGGGGUCUGGAAGGAGAUGGCUGCAGGGACCAUUUUGGCAGUUCCGUAGGAUUGGAGUUCCCUGGAGGGAUGGAAGAUGACAUCUCAGCAUCACCCCAGAGCACAAGGGAGGAUCGGUAUCACUGUCUGCCUCCGUCAGAAAAGUAAAUAUUCC
rnacentral:lncRNA from 1 species